rnacentral:rRNA from 1 species
UAACUUCGGUCAGGGAUGAGCUCGCGGCCUAUCAGCUAGUUGGUGAGGUAACGGCUCACCAAGGCGUCGACGGGUAGCCGGCCUGAGAGGGUGACCGGCCACACUGGGACUGAGACACGGCCCAGACUCCUACGGGAGGCAGCAGUGGGGAAUAUUGCACAAUGGGCGCAAGCCUGAUGCAGCAACGCCGCGUGAGGGACGACGGCCUUCGGGUUGUAAACCUCUUUUAGCAGGGAAGAAGCGAAAGUGACGGUACCUGCAGAAAAAGCACCGGCUAACUACGUGCCAGCAGCCGCGGUAAUACGUAGGGUGCAAGCGUUAUCCGGAAUUAUUGGGCGUAAAGAGCUCGUAGGCGGUUUGUCGCGUCUGCUGUGAAAUCCCGAGGCUCAACCUCGGGCCUGCAGUGGGUACGGGCAGACUAGAGUGCGGUAGGGGAGAUUGGAAUUCCUGGUGUAGCGGUGGAAUGCGCAGAUAUCAGGAGGAACACCGAUGGCGAAGGCAGAUCUCUGGGCCGUAACUGACGCUGAGGAGCGAAAGGGUGGGGAGCAAACAGGCUUAGAUACCCUGGUAGUCCACCCCGUAAACGUUGGGAACUAGUUGUGGGGUCCAUUCCACGGAUUCC